CUUGACAUAGGAAGCUCAAAUGUUGAAUAAUGUGUUGAACUCUUGAAACAAGAACUUAACUUUCCUAAAGAACAAUUGUUCAAAACCAGAGUCUUGUGAGGCACAUUUUCCCUAUUCCUAGACAAGAACACAACUACCCCCAUUCAGCAAUUAACAGAACUUUAUAAGUUAGAACUGAAAUCACACUCUACAAUCACAGAAAGCCUUGCAAGGUCUAACCACACUGGAUAGGUAUAGUGAAACUAUACCAACAACAAGCAAACACAAAUCACAAACAGUAUGAGAAAGUUUAAAGCCGAAAACUGUGGCGUACUUAAACCAAAUGAAAAUGAACAAUUUAUGAUGAAAAGAGAAAAGAGUACAAAACAAUAAAGAUAAAACAGAAAAGAAAAUACACGGCCUGGGACAAACUAGGAAUAAAA
rnacentral:misc_RNA from 1 species